ACCAGCGAUAGGGAUAGGAUGUGCUAUGUCCCGGAUCCGAUGUGCACUUAUCGAACGCUUUUAUUUUAAAGUGCAAUGAGUGUAAAUGGGGGAAAAAUAAUAAAGGGAAUCUGCCAUAUUGGAAGGGAUACAAUGGAGCCCAUCUCAUAGACAAUAAAGUGUGUUUGAAUAGUGCAACGCGUAUUCAAAAUGUGCUAGACAUGAGGCAACCCAUCAGUUUUCUUUACAUAUUUCCACGCUGCCCUUCGGUAUAGGCCUAGCACUCGCAUUUCCUGAGAUGUGAUUGCUCUUUGCUGAAGGACGAACAUCGAAAGGGCCUCUGCGAGGUAAUUCCUCGCCUCCGGACAGGACAGGUGAUGCCGUACCUCGAGCAAACUGCAGACACAAAGAGUUCCUCGGUGCAGCGACGAGGCCGAGGCCAAGGCCUGCCCGAAUCCACCCAGCGAUCGAGACAGAGGCGCCCCGCGGUGCCGGACAAGCAGCCCUGUCACGUCCGAAACACCAGCGGCCGUCAGCAGAUCCUCACACAACUCGUCAACCUGCAGAGGAGGGUGAAAGGGCUUAACUCCCCUUCAGAAGAGC